rnacentral:rRNA from 1 species
AUUGAACGCUGGCGGCAGGCCUAACACAUGCAAGUCGAGCGAGCGGCGGACGGGUGAGUAAUGUCUGGGGACUGCCUGAUAGAGGGGGAUAACUACUGGAAACGGUGGCUAAUACCGCAUACUAUCGGAUAACCCAUAUGGGAUUAGCUAGUAGGUAAGGUAAUGGCUUACCUAGGCGACGAUCCCUAGCUGGUCUGAGAGGAUGAUCAGCAAAACUGGGACUGAGACACGGACCAGACUCCUACGGAGGGAGCAGUGGGGAAUAUUGCACAAUGGGAGCAAGCCUGAUGCAGCCAUGCCGCGUGUAUGAAGAAGGCCCUAGGGUUGUAAAGUACUUUCAGUCGGGAGGCGUUACCGACAGAAGAAGCACCGGCUAACUCCGUGCCAGCAGCCGCGGUAAUAC